rnacentral:lncRNA from 1 species
GCACGGCAGCUGGCGGGGUGGCACCUGGUUCCAGCUCUAUCUUAUGAUCCACCUCCCUUUUAGGUGGUAACCUCUUUGGUAGCUCUGGUGGCAUGACGUCUUGGAACUCCUCCAAAACGUGCUGGACCUCGGGUGGCAUGGACUCGGUUGUAGGAAUGGCAACUUCUUCCUUUAAGGCAACAAGGUAGGUUGGCUCUUCCUUCUUGAUGCCCUUUGAGAGUUGCAUGGCCGAAAUUUGUUUUUCUUGGAGUCAGGUUUCCCGCUCUAGUGGAAUUAGAUGGGUGUUGCCUUCCUCCAAGAUAUAUAAGGAGUUCGCAAAGGGAAUUGGGAUGGCCUUGACCCUGUCCAUGAAAUCAAUACCCAAGACAAGUGGAUAAUCGUCCAUGGUCACGAUCGAGAAGUUUAUGUGGCCGUGCCAAUUGCCUAAGC